rnacentral:rRNA from 1 species
AGAGUUUGAUCCUGGCACAGGAUGAACGCUAGCUACAGGCUUAACACAUGCAAGUCGAGGGGCAGCACUAGGUAGCAAUAGAUGCUGAUGGCGACCGGCGCACGGGUGAGUAACACGUAUCCAACCUGGCCCAUACUAGGGAAUAGCCUGCCGAAAGGCAGAUUAAUGCCCUAUGUUGUGUAUUGAUGGCAUCAGAUUUACACCAAAGAUUCAUCGGUAUGGGAUGGGGAUGCGUCCGAUUAGCUUGACGGCGGGGUAACGGCCCACCGUGGCUACGAUCGGUAGGGGUUCUGAGAGGAAGGUCCCCCACACUGGAACUGAGACACGGUCCAGACUCCUACGGGAGGCAGCAGUGAGGAAUAUUGGUCAAUAGGCGUAAGCCUGAACCAGCCAAGUAGCGUGAGGGAUGACUGCCCUAUGGGUUGUAAACCUCUUUUAUAAGGGAAUAACUGACGAUACGUGUAUUGUUUUGCAUGUACCUUAUGAAUAAUGACCGGCUAAUUCCGUGCCAGCAGCCGCGGUAAUACGGAAGGUCAGGGCGUUAUCCGGAUUUAUUGGGUUUAAAGGGAGCGUAGGCGGUUGGUUAAGCGUGUUGUGAAAUGUCCCGGCCCAACCGGGGAUGUGCAACGCGAACUGGCUGACUUGAGUGCGUACGAGGUAUGCGGAAUUCGUCGUGUAGCGGUGAAAUGCUUAGAUAUGACGAAGAACUCCGAUUGCGAAGGCAGCAUGCCAGGCCGCUACUGACGCUGAAGCUCGAAGGUGCGGGUAUCGAACAGGAUUAGAUACCCUGGUAGUCCGCACGGUAAACGAUGGAUGCCCGCUGUUUGCGAUAUACUGUGAGCGGCCAAGCGAAAGCGUUAAGCAUCCCACCUGGGGAGUACGCCGGCAACGGUGAAACUCAAAGGAAUUGACGGGGGCCCGCACAAGCGGAGGAACAUGAGGUUUAAUUCGAUGAUACGCGAGGAACCUUACCCGGGCUCGAACGGUAUGCGAACGAUUCAGAGAUGGAGAGGCCAGCAAUGGCGCAUAUCGAGGUGCUGCAUGGUUGUCGUCAGCUCGUGCCGUGAGGUGUCGGCUUAAGUGCCAUAACGAGCGCAACCCUUGUGAACAGUUACCAACGGGUGAUGCCGGGGACUCUGUUCAGACUGCCGCCGUAAGGUGAGAGGAAGGUGGGGAUGACGUCAAAUCAGCACGGCCCUUACGUCCGGGGCGACACACGUGUUACAAUGGCAGGUACAGAGAGCAGCUUUACAGUGAUGUAUGGCGAAUCUGCUAAAACCUGUCUCAGUUCGGAUUGGAGUCUGCAACUCGACUCCAUGAAGUUGGAUUCGCUAGUAAUCGCGCAUCAGCCAUGGCGCGGUGAAUACGUUCCCGGGCCUUGCACUCACCGCCCGUCA